rnacentral:ncRNA from 1 species
GCCCCGGACGAGGGGCGCUGCAGCAGGGGCUCCGGCCACUGCCAGGCUCGUCCGGGGCAUGCGACAUUUAACCGCGCCCCAUCGCA